CUUACAAACACACAUACAUACACAAUCGAUAGGUUUUUGUAAAAAAAUAGUUCAUUGGUUAGCUUAAAUGACAGUCAUUUAUGCAAGCUGACUAAGUUUGAAAGACUUGAAAACUUCCAGACCUGAAGAUGAAGACCUGAAGACAAAAGAUCCUUUUUGAAGACAAAAGCCUCUGUUGAAGUUACCUAAACUUCAUCAGCAGAUUACACAUCCCCAUCCAGCUAAGUGUGCUACGUUGUGUUUUGUGUGUUUGUGAAGUGUAAGUGACAUAUUGUGUUUUAUUUAGACAUCCUUGAGAGAUGGAGAGUUUUGCACGUCUGGACGCUAUAUUUUAUUACCUUGCAAAUGGUUCCCACCAACUAGGGAGUAGUAGGAUACAGAUGUCUUCUGUCGGUAGAGCAGCAAAGCAGUAUGUGUUAGAUAUGGGUAAGUUGUACUAUGUUAAUUCAGGUAAGAGACGUCUAGUUGUACGUACUCCUGAGGAGAGGGACAGGGUACUGUAUGAGUGCCAUGACAGUGCAGCCACUGGAGAGCACCCACACAGAAGGCAGUGCAGAAUUUUUAUUGGCUGACUUUGAAAAAGGAUGUAGAGGAUUGGGUUGGUGCCUGUGAGCCAUGACAGAAUUAAGACUGUAGCACCUACGCUACACCCUAUUAAGGUCCAGGGUCCCUGGCAGGUCAUGGGAGUUGAUUUAAUUGGGCCGCUCAAAACGACAUCCAAGGGUUACACCCAUAUCAUAAGUUUUACUGAUUUGUUCUCCAAGUGGGUCAUGGCUAGGCCUCUGAGAGGCAAGAACGGUCCAGGGGUAGGACUUAUGGUGACACAAACUGUUUUGGCACAGGGUGGUGUCAAAAAGAUUAUCACUGAUAUGGGAAGAGAGUUUGUUAAUGACUGUAACAAAGCUCUUUUUGAAACCUUUGGGAUAGAGCAUGCUGUAACUUUAGCCUACCACCCGCAGAGCAAUGGGCAAGAUGAGCGCUCAAACCAGAACAUUAAGCGCCAUCUUGCAAAGUACUGUAAUGAGGAGCAGAAUGACUGGGACGUCUAUCUGCAACACGCUGUUUAUUCGAUAAACACCUCGAAGCAGCGUUCCACAAAGGUAAGCCCAUAUUUUGCAAUUUAUCGGGUUCAUCCCGGCAGCAGCGCCGAUCCAAAUGUAGAUGACUGAGAUCGCGAACAGUGAAGAGACGCUGCAGAGGAGGGCAGACUCACUUGCCAAAGUUCAUGCCAAGGUUCAGGAGAACAUUGCAAUUGCCCAGGGUAGACAGAAAUUGCAGUUUGAAACCCAGCAGAGGCGUAAUGUUAAAUGCUUUGAUGUCAAGGAGGGCGAUGAGGUCCUCGUGGCAGACCAAGAAAGCGGUGAAGUUAGGAAAUGCGAUGAAUGAACGUUGGGCUGGACCGUUUAAGGUGGAGUCCAUGACAGCCAAAAGAGUGUCCAGAUCUGUUGACAGUGAGGGUCUUUCAAAGUGAAGUCAGAUGGUGAAUGUUCGUUUUGCCAAAUGUUUUGCCAUUUGAAGCCAUAUGUUCGUCGAACAGACACGCCCAAGAUGUCGGCAUCGCUUCUGAUGUCCAGGAAUUGAGUGUAUUGUGCGACAUCUCGAUGGAAGCUGUAGGUGCUGAAUGUAGGUAUUUCUUCAUUUAUACAUCUCCACAUAUGUACUGUCAUGUCAAGUUCAAUGUAGAGUGUUGAAUGUGUUUCAUGUUCCUUUUUCCUAAAAGGUGCAGAUGUUGAUCACACACACAGCAAGGCAGCAGACACAGGUGAGGGCACAACCUUGUACAGAGAACAAACAUAUUUGUACAUACAUAGAUGUAUAUGUAUAGUAGAUGCUGAAUGGUUUGUGUUUGUGUGUGUGUUUUUCCCAAUUUCAGAUAUUCCUAUUCUCUAAAUAAGUUCAGAGGACGAGGUACAUUUUCUAAAAUGUAUUAGUGUUCGUUUCAAUGUAUUAGUUUCUUCUGCUUUCUUCUUUUGAUCUGUUGGUUAUUUAACUCAUUCACUGUUUUUCUGCAAAGGUAAAAUGGUCUAUAGUCUACCAUGGUGAACCAUCUUUUCCAUUUAGUAGUAGUUUGGGGUGGACAUUAUGUGUAACUUCUGUACACAUGCUUCCAAUCCAUCAGGUACUGACGCAACAGAUCCGCAAUGAUGUGGACAAAUACGCGUCUUGAUCAGCAUUGGAAGUUGUCGUGCCACGUUGCGCGACUUAGACAGUCUGGCAGGCCCAGAGUUCAACUGGCUGACCGAUGAUGUAAGUAAAACUUAGAAAUACAUUUUUAUUUUACUUUUUUCCUAUCAUGUUGUCGUCAAAUUUCUUUUUCUUUCUUGUAGAUUGUGAAUACGCGCGUUGCAGUGAUUGCUGCAGAUCACAAACAACGUUCCACUGUAAGUAGUUUCUAUUUUCUCUGUAGUCUGACAACCUACCAGUAUCUGUUAUUGUUUUGUAGAAGUUUACUCUGGUUUUUUUUGUCUUCACAAGACAAAGCAGUGUUCCACGCCCUUACCACAGACGCAUACACGUUGUGGUGUCGUGACUGGACAGCACAUAGUUGUGUUACGGAAAGAACUUUAAGCUGUAUCAAUGGCAUUAAGCCAGAUGGCGUGGUGCUACUGCCCCGUCUCGUAGGUCUGCGUUAAAAUAAAGCUUUACAGGUUUGGUCAGCGGACACCUGGGGUUAAAUGCGUAAGUUUGGUUGUCUCUCCAUUUUCCCCUUUAAAUGUAUG